rnacentral:lncRNA from 1 species
GCUGAGGCGGCGGCCGGCCAUAAAUGGCGGCGAUUUGGUGCGGGCGGCCGUUUCUGAUGGGGAGAGGAAACGAGGGGGCGAGGCGGCGCGUGCGCGGGGGAAGGGGAGCGGGUGCGGAACGUGGAGCAGCGCGGGAGAUGGAGCGGUGCAGAGGACGCCGGGGAGGAGCCGCGACGCGGCGGCGGCCGGUAGAGAUCGAGCAGCAGGAGCGGUCGGAUGAGCGCCUGGCCUGAGGAAGAAG